CGUGCAGGCGGCUUGUCAAGUCAGAUGUGAAAGCCCACGGCUUAACCGUGGAAGCGCAUUUGAAACUGGCAGGCUUGAGUACCAGAGGGGAAAGUGGAAUUCCCGGCGUAGAGGUGAAAUUCGUAGAUAUCGGGAGGAAUACCGGUGGCGAAGGCGACUUUCUGGCUGGAUACUGACGCUGAGACGCGAAAGCGCGGGGAGCAAACA
rnacentral:rRNA from 1 species